rnacentral:lncRNA from 1 species
CUUCUGAAAGGAUUAGCUCCUAGUACCAAUACCUGCGAUUCUCGCAGCAUUGAAACUAAAAAUGAAACUAAAGCACAAAGCAUGUAAACAAGACAUGUUAAAGAGUUCACUAUUUAUAUAGCAAAUUGAUGUACAACAAAUCAUUGAUCCAGAAUUACAUCAAAUGAUAAUGUACAAAAAAUUCAAUAUAAAUACAUAAUAAUAGUUAAAUUAUCUGGACCGAUGGCUUCAUUCCCAAUACCUAACUUUAGGUAUUAAUCCACAACUUCAUUACUGUCAAAUGACAAUAAACUUGUCAUGUGUUACGCACGAAGUUUGAAUCCUUGCAGCAGGCACCAUUAGCUUUGCCAAACCUGAAAUUGAUUAGAAGUUGUUAAGAUAACUUUUAAGAGAUGAAGCAAAAUGGUGAGCAAAUUGAAACAGUAAUAGCAGGGGGGAAAAAGAUCAAGACCAGAUUUUUGGCUUCAAAUUUGUUCUUUGUAAAUACAGAAAAAGAUUAUUGAAAAAAAGAGACAACACAGGAAAGGAAAAAAAAAAACUUUGGAAGGAAAGAGAACAAAGUACAUUAGGAGGAAAAAAGUUUUGGUCUCCAGAGAGUUCAUAACACAAUCCUACCUAUCCUAUUUAUUGAAGGGAAUAAAGAGACUGCAUUUGCCACAGUUUUGGUCUCCUUUUUAACUAGAACUUUAAGCCAUUAGUAGAAAACAGCUUUAGUGUAGGAGGACACAUCCAAAGCUAACUAAAGUUGUUCAUAUGAAAAUAACAGCUUCAAAAUGCAAAAACAAGUGCACGGUUGUUUCUGCAAGUAGUUACUAGUGUGCUUAAGUGACUGCUGUUUGUUAUCACAGUGCAAAACAAAACAUCAACCUCCACUCUCCUAAAUGCCUAUGAUGCAGCAUUUUAUUAUUGCGGCACAGAGCACCCUAAUAGUACAACCUGUCGGCUGUUAUAGAUUGAAUAGUGGCCUCUGCUCCAGGAAGUCAUGAAAAGCCAGCAAAAUCAUAACCAUAGAAUGGAGUUUAGCUGGAAAUCCACUACAACGUAGCACCACGGCUGCUACUUAACAACAUUGCUUCCAUCUAAACAAAAGACUUGACUUAACUUCCUAAUCACUUUAUCGAAAAUAUAUCUCGGAAUGAGUAACAAAAGGAUAUAUCAUAUAUGUAUUUACAAGAAAACAUUCCAAAUGAAUCUGAGGUCAAGAUUCCCAACCCUGGAUUGGCUGAAAACCGAAACAUAUAUAGUGAAACUAAAAGGUAUUCUAGCUUGCUAGUUUUCCUAUUAUUUAAGACUGCAAAAGAAAAUAUCCGAAGAUCUCGCAGCAAAGGAGAAUCUUGAAAAGAAAUGCUUCGAAUCGGUAAAUUACGCAACAAGAGAAAACCUACAAAAUCAACCCAAUGAACUCAAACAAAAGGAGUAGUAUUCAAUACUUUGGGCACAAAAAGGACUCUCAAUCAACACUCUCUUCUUACACAAUACACAGCAGAAACAAUUCUACAAGCAAGUGGCAUCUCAUAAAGGCAACAUAAUGGAAUGAGUAUUGUUAACUAUCAAAACUUUCUUCACCAACAUCCAUCAACUAGUCCUACAUAGCAAAAAAAAAAAGAGAAUUUAUGAACCUCUUUCUCAAGAUCCAUCUAUGUGAAUGAAUUUAUUAGUUCUUACAUAUCACAAAAAAAGUUGAUCUAAUCUUAACCCUACAACCCCAGUUCAAUAAUGAAAGAAACACAAUCAAAUCCAUAGACAAAAAUAAAAAAGACACAUGCUUUAGCAACAAGAAUGAGUAAAUAAAGACAUUACACAGAAGAAGCUGAGAAUGAAAGAAGAGGGUUUUAAGCAAGAAAAACAAAAACCCUGUGAAAAAAAGGUACCUUUGAAGUUGCAGCAGAAAAGAUGAGUUGGAGAGGAAGUGGGUAUGGAAAAUGCCAUGGGAAGAUUGUGCAUUUACUUUACUGAGAGAGAGAUGAGAUGAGACUUUAUUGUAUUACUGCUGAUGUGCUGCCAUAGCCACUUUGUCUCUGUCUGAGAGAGAGAAAGAGAGAGAAAAAGAGAAACAGGGUUGUGUUGUGUUGUGUAUUCCGAGGUAAUUAAAUUUGGUGUUUUUCAAAAUGAAAAAGCCACAAACACGCCCUUUCUUUUCUCUCUGUGCUUGUGUGCUGAC